rnacentral:rRNA from 1 species
UACGGAGGGGGCUAGCGUUGUUCGGAAUUACUGGGCGUAAAGCGCAUGUAGGCGGCUUUGUAAGUUAGAGGUGAAAGCCCGGGGCUCAACUCCGGAAUUGCCUUUAAGACUGCAUCGCUAGAAUUGUGGAGAGGUAAGUGGAAUUCCGAGUGUAGAGGUGAAAUUCGUAGAUAUUCGGAAGAACACCAGUGGCGAAGGCGCCUUACUGGACAGAUAUUGACGCUGAGGUGCGAAAGCGAGGGGAGCAAACAGG